AUGGCUACACACCAGGACCACUGUUCUGGCAAACCUGACAGUAAUUCUGAAGAGGAAGACCAGCACAGAAAACCUAAGCACAGUGGCCUAAGCCCAGAAUCCCUGUCUUGGGAGGACGAGAACUUUCCCAUUUUCACACCAAACACUGACAUAUCCAAGCUAUCAAAGGCCAGUGAAGAAAACACAGCUGAAGAGGUUCAGAAUUCACCUGGCCCAUCACAGAAACAGGGGAAGAUCCCAGGGUAUGGAAAAUUUGCUGCUUUCCUACAAGACCAAGAGGAAAAUGAUGAAGAUUUUCUGGAUGAGGAUGCCCUAUAUGCACCUGAGGAAGAGGAAGACAACAGUCCUGGGAGAGGACAACUGGAAUCUAGCUUGCACUCAGAUGACGCAGAAGAAGACAUGAUUCCUGUACAGAAUCGUAAGGUUAGCAUUCCAUGUGUGGAAACAGAAAUACCCUGCAUUUUUGCCAAGCAGGAAGGAGAAGCCCGGAAUCUGAUGGAGGAAGAGGAUGCUCAUAUUGCAACAGAAAGAGAAAUGGAGGCAGAAUAUUCCACUCAUGCACACGAAGGGGGCAGUCUUAUCUCUGAGGUGAGACUGGAGGCCAUAAGUUCUAAUGAGAAGCAACAGGGAACCACAAAUGUGUAUGAUGAAAGAGGAGAGGCUAGGGUUUCUGUGGAAGCACAAGCCUGUGCCAACAUGCCAAGUAUUCAUGGCCCGGCUCAAGAGGUAGAGAUAAUUUCAGACAAAAAGCAGGUGUCCUCUUGCCAGCAAGAUAAAGAGGCACACAUUUUCACGCAGCAACAUGUGAGUGCCGACAUAGCUACACAGGAACAAGAAAGGGCUCACACACCAAAGGAUCAUAAAAAAGACAUGGACAUUCCUUCAUCAGCGGUGGGGAACACAGCGUGUCCUUCAUUUGAACGGGAGGAAGUCAGUCCUAAGCUAUUAGAGAAAGAGGAGCCUGCAUUAACUGAAUGUAUCCAACAGGGGGAGUCGCUGCUUCACCGCCUGCAUGUGGUGCAGCAGAAACAGCAAAGCCCUGAGGAGUCAGAGGAGUUUUCAGUCAUGACCAAUCAGCCAGCAGUAUUUGAAGGGAAUACAGAAGCUUUGGAAGGAGGAAAUAAUUUGACAGAUCCUGACACAAACUCCUGUGGAGAGGAGAAAGAUGAAGAUGCUCCGUCUCCGUCUCAAGGCCUGGAAGAGCCACAGGCUAGGGCUAGUGUGGAGAUGCAGCCCAGCCAUGGAGAUGAACAGGCUAGGGCUAGUGUGGAGAUGCAGCCCAACUAUGGAGAUGAACAGGCUAGGGCUAGUGUGGAGAUGCAGCCCAACUAUGGAGAUGAACAGGCUAGGGCUAGUGGGGAGAUGCAGCCCAGCCAUGGAGAUGAUCAGAGUGACAGCGGAGUGUCUGCUGACUCCUCCACAUGCGGCAUGCAGGAGCCCCAGGCCUAUGCUGCUGCAUCCACAUCUGCAGCCCAGCAGCUGCCACCUGGAACCCCAGCUCAGAGGAAGCGCCAUGAAAGCUGGGAGCCUGCGGGGAGCUUGCAGUCGUCCAGCAAUCUUAUUGGUGGUGCUGAAGAGGAAGAGGCGGAACAGAUCUCUGUUCAGAAGGAUCCUCUGGAGGGUCAGUGUUCCUCUGCUGGAGGGAGUGUAACCCAAGGAGGAGAGGGACAAGGUUCGGCUGGGAAGAGGACGGAACAGCAGAUCAAUUCUAAGGUGAAUAGGGAGGAGGACUUGGUUCGGCUGGGGAAGGCGUUAGGUGAGUGUUAUGUGAGGAAGUUCAAGGAGAGAAGGAUGCUGUUCGAGGCCUUCCAGCAGGUCAAAACUGCUGAGACAAAACCUCCUCCUCUCCGUCCAAAAAAGAUGCUCUCCACCUCCAUCUCGGCAUUCUCCUUAUCCUCAGUGUCUAAGAGGCAGGUCCCGGAAGAGCGGAUCCGUCCCUCUGUCUCUGUGAUGGAACGUGCUCGCAGUCUGGAGCAGCUCAGCCAGGCCCAGGAGUUGAGCGUGCCCUGGCACAGAGACAGUGGAUGGGGCAACCUGGCCGAGUCGGACGAGCGAGACAGGAUCAUCGUCGAAGGGGACGUCACGUUGGUUCACCGCAGGAGGUCUCUUCGUCCCACUCACAGCUCUGAAUCACUUUUUGGCCACAAAGUGGACGAGAAGCAGGAAGAAGGGGUGGGUGAGGAUGAGGAGGAUGAGGACGAAAGCUCUGUCCUGCACAGGCAGAAUCCCUUCUUUAAGCUGCGACCCUCACUGGCACUAAGGCCCGAUGUGGCCAGGGACAUCCGAGAUGCUCGAGAGAGGGAGAAAGAGCUACGGAAGCUCAGGAGGGGUCUCUAUGGAAGCUGGAAGGGUCGACGGCAUAGCCGAGUCUCAGGAACCACAACAACCAGCCAAGCAGACUUAGGAAGUAUGGAGGAAGAUUAUCAGUCCAGAGGUAAACUGGACCUUGUGUGGCCACCUCCCUCCCCAGACGAGAAGGUUCCACAGACAGGGGACACACAGGAGCAGAAACCUCUGAUCCCACCAAGUCAAAAAGCUCUGCUUUGGCAGCGCUGGGAGACCGGCACGGUGAACGGACACGUGAAGGGAGAGGACUGACACGUACUCCAUGUGUCCUCAAGGACGCUGACCCCACCCCACAUCACCCCAAAGAACUCACCUGACUCUCAGAACCACCAAGGAGACGUGGAUCAGGACUGACUGCUGUGGGGAUGCAAAGGAUGGUUCCUGGAUCAGACAUGAGGAUGAAGCAAAGAGAAAGUGCUAGAUCAGCUGUACGGAGGGAAUUAAAUGUUUGGCAGCAGGUCUCACAAGCAUUACCUCAUGAGAUACAAUCAGAAUUGAACGCACAAACUCCCAAGUGAUAGGGAUCUGAUGAAGCCUGAACUGUGACAGAGCUCUGAUGUCUUUCCUGUGUAGGAUUACAAUCAGUUAGGCAAGUUACACUUGGUUUAGCCUCAUUACAGUAAGAGAGUAAAAAUACUGGUUACAUGUUCCCACUCAAGUGUUAAUGUGAUAGUGCUGUUACACAAUCAUCACAUGCUGUAUCGGUAUGAAACAAGAUAUCAUUUAUAGUCCCAGACAAGUCUUACAUCAGUGCUACUGUGAUAGCAGUGUUGUUUGUUACACGUGAUUAUUUGUUGUAUCUGUAAAGUGUUGUGAUAAAACAAGGCAAAUAUGAACACACACAUUCACAUAUCAACUCACAAAUCAAAACUCACUCUUGCACUUUCUUGCACUUGUAUCUUAACUGCUCUGUAUUAGUCCAGGCAAAGUAAGUCAUUUUGGAGCCAAAAAUAGAACUAAUUGUAAAAUAAUUUUUUUCAGCAUAGAUCAUUUCUAUGAGGUGUCCAGAACAACAUACUAAAAGUCCUAAGAAAUCCUAGUUGAGGAAAAAUGUUUAAUUCUCAUAAUGUGCUAAUAAUGCCAGGCAACAAUACACCCCACAUUUUUUUUCCUUUACUCCUAUCAAAAUUAAACUUUACACAAUGAAAGUAUCCAUGAAAAGUGACAUUUUUUGUAUUAGAAGUUUCUUUGAAAAUUAAUUGUAAUAUGCAAAUGAGCUAUACACUAAUUGAAUAUGCCCAAAAUACACCCAAAUAGGCUUAAUUCUUUCCUUUACUCCUACCACAAUAAAACUUUACAUAGUAAAAGUAUACA
rnacentral:lncRNA from 1 species